rnacentral:lncRNA from 1 species
GAAGGAUGUUGUGCAGUCAGAGACCUGGAGGAUUUCAGUGUUCGCACUCUGUACGAUAAGUUGGAAGAUCAGAAUUUGCACCUGGCAUCUCAGCUGGCAAAGCACAGGAGGGAUGUGUUGGUGUUUUACAAUGGAGUCAGCCAGCAGAUUCAAGGUCUCAUGGACAUGGUACGAGCACUGGAUACUAAAGGCCUGAAAAUCCUUGGCAGGCAAAGGAUUUGUGAGCAUAAAUCUGGAGACAGCAGCCGGGCAGCAGUGGGCAUGGAACAGUGUGAGGAACACUGCAGCAGCAGCUUCAAUGCAGCAGGGCAGGCAGGUGCACUACAGCAAGAGGCAAUGGAGUUGAUGAAAGCUCUAGAGAUCCUGCUUGGGAGAGCUCAGCCUAAGAACAUGAAACGAGAGAUGGAGCAGCAGAUCCAUGGACAGGAUAUGGUGGCAGUUUUACCCUCACUGCACAGUGAAAGUAAAGCAAAA